AUUGAACGCUAGCGGGAUGCUUUACACAUGCAAGUCGAACGAGUGGCGGACGGGUGAGUAAUAUAUCGGAACGUGCCCAGUAGAGGGGGCUAACUACUCGAAAGAGUGGCUAAUACAGACUACUAUUGGAACUGCCGAUAUAGGAGUAGCUAGUUGCUGGGGUAAAUGCUCACCAAGGCAACGAUCCGAAGCUGGUUUGAGAGGAUGACCAGCCACACUGUGACUGAGAGCCGGCCCAGACGCCUACGGGAGGCAGCAGUGGGGAAUUGUGGACAAUGGGGGAAACCCUGAUCCAGCCCUCCCGCGUGUAUGAGAAGGCCUUCGGGUUGUAAAGUACUUUUGGCAGAGAAGCGGUAUCUGCAGAAUAAGCACCGGCUAACUACGUGCCAGCAGCCGCGGUAAUAC
rnacentral:rRNA from 1 species